UACAGAGGUCUCAAGCGUUGUUCGGAUUCAUUGGGCGUAAAGGGUGCGUAGGCGGGUCUUUCAGUCAGGGGUGAAAUCCUGGAGCUCAACUCCAGAACUGCCUUUGAUACUGAAGAUCUUGAGUUCGGGAGAGGUGAGUGGAACUGCGAGUGUAGAGGUGAAAUUCGUAGAUAUUCGCAAGAACACCAGUGGCGAAGGCGGCUCACUGGCCCGAUACUGACGCUGAGGCACGAAAGCGUGGGGAGCAAACAGG
rnacentral:rRNA from 1 species